GACGAACGCUGGCGGCGUGCUUAACACAUGCAAGUCGAACGAAGUGGCGAACGGGUGAGUAACGCGUAAUCAACCUGCCCUUCAGAGGGGGACAACAGUUGGAAACGACUACUAAUACCGCAUACUGAAGGAGGGGAUUGAGUCGGAUUAGCGAGUUGGAAGGGUAACGGCCCACCAAGGCGAGGAUCAGUAGCCGGGUUGAGAGGAUGAACGGCCACAUUGGUACUGAGACACGGCCCAGACGCCUACGGGAGGCAGCAGUGGGGAAUCUUCCGCAAUGGACGAAAGUCUGACGGAGCAACGCUGCGGUAGUGAUGACGGCCUUCGGGUUGUAAAGCUCUGUUAAUCGGGACGCGGUACCGGAAUAGAAAGCCACGGCUAACUACGUGCCAGCAGCCGCGGUAAUUC
rnacentral:rRNA from 1 species